AGUGAGCGGCAAAAGCUCAAUUUGAAUCUAGCACCUUCGGUGUUCGAGUUGUAAUUUGAAGAUGGUAACCUUGGGUUUGGCUCUUGUCUAUGUUCCUUGGAACAGGACGUCAUAGAGGGUGAGAAUCCCGUCUGAUGAGAUGCCCAUUCCUAUGUAAGGUGCUAUCGAAGAGUCGAGUUG
rnacentral:rRNA from 1 species